CCUGGCUUGCCAGGUGUCCUUAGUGGCGCACGGGUGAGUAACGCGUGGGAAUCUGCCCAAGAGUGGGGAAUAACUAUUGGAAACGAUAGCUAAUACCGCAUACGCCCUCCGGGGGAAAGGCUUCGGCCGCUCAUGGAUGAUCCCGCGUCUGAUUAGCUUGUUGGUGAGGUAACGGCUCACCAAGGCGACGAUCAGUAGCUGGUCUGAGAGGAUGAUCAGCCACACUGGGACUGAGACACGGCCCAGACUCC
rnacentral:rRNA from 1 species